ACCCUUUCAUUCUCGCAUCUUCCUCAUCACUCUCAAAACCCUAGCCGCCCCAGAUUCCUCCACCGACGGCCACUACCCAAACAACCCCAAAUAUUUAUCCCAUAAUCCCUACCUCCUCCUCAUCCCAUAUCACCGUCUCAUUUCUUCUAAAAAAAUGCCUAGAUUCCUCCAGUUUUUAGAUCUUAGAAUACCAGAAACCCUAGAUUUUGGCUUCAACAUCUGAGUUUUUGGGGUUCGUUUGUGCAAGAUUGCCUUGUUUUCUUGGAGGUUUGACUCUCAUGAGUAAUUUCUUCCAAGAAAAUCCGGCUAGAAUCUCAUUCUGGGCCGGAUUCCUUGGAGGAAAAGACCUUUGGGUGGCCAAAUAGUAUAGAACAAGCGUCGAUCUUUGGUCUGUGGUUUAAGAAGUAACACGCCAAAAGUGUUGGUGACGAAUUUAGAGAUCGAACCAGUGCUUGGCCUGAUUUUAAAAGUUCCACCACUUGAAAGUGGUCAUUUCUGUAAUAGCUUAAUUCUAGAUUGGUAUAGUUCCUAGUACAGAAAUGUAAUUAUCUGGUUCAUCAUUAGUAAAUAUAGUUGUGUAAAUUCAGUAUUGUUUAAAUCUGUAGAAAUGCUUUAACUGUGGUAGUAAAGUACAUAUAUAAUUCUUCGUGGCAUUUGUUAAGUUGAUCGCGUGCUGAGUU